UGCAUCGUCCGGGAAUCGAACCUGGGCCGCCCACGUGGCAGGCGAGCAUUCUACCACUGAACCACCGAUGG
rnacentral:tRNA from 1 species